UUCUGGUUGACUGCCCCGGGNAAACCUGACNNUGGCUAUCGGAUUGGUACUAAGCCAUGCGAGGUCGUAGCAUACGACCGGACGGCAUACCUAUCACUACUCAUGGAGGGAUUCUCAAACUGGAUAACCCUCAUAAUCGUACCUGAAUGGUCCAUUGUUAAAACAGUUUACUGCAUGGGAUGGGACUGCNGNGCCUAUCAGCUUGUUGGUGAGGUAAUGGCCACCAAGCUAUAACAGGUACGGGCUCUGAAGGAAACCCGAAUGGGUACUGAGACACGGACCCAGGCCCUAUGGGGCGCAGCAGGCGAGAAACCUUAGCAAUGUGCGAAAGCACGAANCUUUGGGG
rnacentral:rRNA from 1 species